CAGAGCUGAUAGAGUUUUCGGGUCACCUACACGCCGAACACUUGCCGCUACUGCCACGAGGCCUGAAGGGGCUGUGGUUGGCUGUACCCGGGGAGGAAGAGGCGGCUGUGCUCCUGUCUGAACUUCAACAUGUGCGCGUCUACUGCCCUCACCUCGAAUGGCUGUGUAUCCACGUCCCGGUGUCGUCAGUGACCGCUUCUUCCCCCUCACCGCUGCCUGAUCUUCCCUAUGGUGUGUUUCCCCUCCUGUCUGGCGUGACCGAUGGGGAGGUUGAGGCAGCCUGUCGCAUUGCAGCAGCCAUGUGUCCCAGGGAGACAGGGUAUAGGCGUAUUCGUUUCCCCGGUGCCUCGCUGGACUUCGGUGGAUACAGGCGGCUGCUGGAGGGACUGAGGGCAGCUGGCGUGAAGGUGGCCGGGUAUGUUCAUGUGCCAGACACCGACGCCAUCACUGAGGCUGAAGGGAAGGAGCUGGGCACCCUCGCUAAGUCCUUGCUGGGGUGUAGGUUUUUCAGGUAUGUGUGUGUGUGUGUGUGUGUGUGUGUGUGUGUGUGUGUGUGUGUGUGUGUGUUAUAUUUGGACCAUCUGUUUCGUCACUGUUUGUUUGUUUGUUUGUUUUUAAUGUACGUUUGUUUCCUACACUUGCUAACUUGUCUACUUUUUUGUCUGUUUUUAUUCUGUUCUUCAUCUUUUACGUUUGCUUGUUUUCCUUCUUGUCUUUU